GAUGAACGCUAGCGAUAGGCUUAACACAUGCAAGUCGAGGGACCGGCGGAUGGGUGCGUAACGCGUAUGCAACUUGCCUCACGGUGGAGAAUAACCCGGAGGAAUCCGGACUAAUGCUCCAUACUGUGAGAUAGGCAUGCGUCCUAUUAGGUAGUUGGUGAGGUAACGGCUCACCAAGCCGACGAUAGGUAGGGGUGCUGAGAGGCAGAUCCCCCACAUUGGGACUGAGACACGGCCCAAACUCCUACGGGAGGCAGCAGUGAGGAAUAUUGGUCAAUGGAGGAAACUCUGAACCAGCCAAGUCGCGUGAAGGAAGAAUGUCUAAGGAUUGUAAACUUCUUUAGCGAGCGAGUAAGUAGCUCGAGAAUAAGUAUCGGCUAACUCCGUGCCAGCAGCCGCGGUAAUAC
rnacentral:rRNA from 1 species